AGGAUGAACGCUGGCGGCGUGCCUAAUACAUGCAAGUCGAGCGAGUUCUGAUUAUUGAAAGGUGCUUGCAUCUUGAUUUAAUUUUGAACGAGUGGCGGACGGGUGAGUAACACGUGGGUAACCUGCCCUUAAGUGGGGGAUAACAUUUGGAAACAGAUGCUAAUACCGCAUAAAUCCAAGAACCGCAUGGUUCUUGGCUGAAAGAUGGCGUAAGCUAUCGCUUUUGGAUGGACCCGCGGCGUAUUAGCUAGUUGGUGAGGUAACGGCUCACCAAGGCAAUGAUACGUAGCCGAACUGAGAGGUUGAUCGGCCACAUUGGGACUGAGACACGGCCCAAACUCCUACGGGAGGCAGCAGUAGGGAAUCUUCCACAAUGGACGCAAGUCUGAUGGAGCAACGCCGCGUGAGUGAAGAAGGCUUUCGGGUCGUAAAACUCUGUUGUUGGAGAAGAAUGGUCGGCAGAGUAACUGUUGUCGGCGUGACGGUAUCCAACCAGAAAGCCACGGCUAACUACGUGCCAGCAGCCGCGGUAAUACGUAGGUGGCAAGCGUUAUCCGGAUUUAUUGGGCGUAAAGCGAGCGCAGGCGGUUUUUUAAGUCUGAUGUGAAAGCCCUCGGCUUAACCGAGGAAGUGCAUCGGAAACUGGGAAACUUGAGUGCAGAAGAGGACAGUGGAACUCCAUGUGUAGCGGUGAAAUGCGUAGAUAUAUGGAAGAACACCAGUGGCGAAGGCGGCUGUCUGGUCUGUAACUGACGCUGAGGCUCGAAAGCAUGGGUAGCGAACAGGAUUAGAUACCCUGGUAGUCCAUGCCGUAAACGAUGAAUGCUAGGUGUUGGAGGGUUUCCGCCCUUCAGUGCCGCAGCUAACGCAUUAAGCAUUCCGCCUGGGGAGUACGACCGCAAGGUUGAAACUCAAAGGAAUUGACGGGGGCCCGCACAAGCGGUGGAGCAUGUGGUUUAAUUCGAAGCAACGCGAAGAACCUUACCAGGUCUUGACAUCUUUUGAUCACCUGAGAGAUCAGGUUUCCCCUUCGGGGGCAAAAUGACAGGUGGUGCAUGGUUGUCGUCAGCUCGUGUCGUGAGAUGUUGGGUUAAGUCCCGCAACGAGCGCAACCCUUAUGACUAGUUGCCAGCAUUUAGUUGGGCACUCUAGUAAGACUGCCGGUGACAAACCGGAGGAAGGUGGGGAUGACGUCAAAUCAUCAUGCCCCUUAUGACCUGGGCUACACACGUGCUACAAUGGAUGGUACAACGAGUUGCGAGACCGCGAGGUCAAGCUAAUCUCUUAAAGCCAUUCUCAGUUCGGACUGUAGGCUGCAACUCGCCUACACGAAGUCGGAAUCGCUAGUAAUCGCGGAUCAGCACGCCGCGGUGAAUACGUUCCCGGGCCUUGUACACACCGCCCGUCACACCAUGAGAGUUUGUAACACCCGAAGCCGGUGGCGUAACCCUUUUAGGGAGCGAGCCGUCUAAGGUGGGACAAAUGAUUAGGGUGAA
rnacentral:rRNA from 1 species